CACACUGGGGCAAAGUGGUUCAACCAGGGCCUCAAGGCCAGGUGGAGGCAGGACUGGAACUGGAAGGGGCGUUGCUUCUCCUAACUGAGGCUCCCAGCCAAGCCUCAUCUGCCAUAAUGUCCCCUCCUCCCAAUGCCAGGGCAAAGUCAGCGGGAUGGAAACCGGCAGACUGGAGGAAGCUGGGGCCCCGUGGUUUACUCAGAGACCACUGAAGGCAGAACAGGCACCUCUCACGCCCCGUGCCAGCCACAGGGCAAACCUAGUUGUAAUCUCCACGGCCAGCAGGCCCAGCGUCUUUCUAAGUGUGCAUCAUCUCCAUGAACCCGCUCACCCAUCAUGAGAUCCAAAAUUGCAAUUGCUGGGUCAUAAGGUUUCAGCUGAAACUACUGAAAAUAUACAUAGAUCUGUUUACGUGGAACCAGUUAAAUAAGAUAAGAUUACGACUUGGAGGUAACUGUGGAUUUGGUGGUGGGAAAAGAAAGCCCCUCCACAUUUGGUCCCCACACACCCUCCUGCCAUUGGACCACAGACACUGUCGAGAGAAUUGGAUUUGCUGUGAAUUAAAGAGAUCUCAAUUAUUUGAGAUUAGUUACAAACAAACUCGAGAUAUCCCAACAGCCUUUCUGCAGAGCGUCAUUCCUGCCUCGCCUCCAACCUGGGCUGAGACCUUGGUCACCAGAGAGGAGACUGCAGCUGGGAAGUCCUUUGUUUCCGAGUGAGCCUGUCU
rnacentral:lncRNA from 1 species